CGGGUGAGUAACGCGUGAGUAACCUGCCUUACACAAGGGGAUAGCCGUUGGAAACGACGAAUAAUACCCUAUGACAUAAACUCUUCGCAUGAGGAGCUUAUCAAAGAUUUAUCGGUGUAAGAUGGACUCGCGUCUGAUUAGCUAGUUGGUGAGGUAACGGCCCACCAAGGCGACGAUCAGUAGCCGGCUUGAGAGAGUGUACGGCCACAUUGGGACUGAGACACGGCCCAGACUCCUACGGGAGGCAGCAGUG
rnacentral:rRNA from 1 species